UGUAGGUUGACCAGGCUCAACUCAGCUUGGAGUUCUUGUUUGGGAACUCUCAUAUGGUGGUGGUUUGAUGGUGGCUGGGGCUAGAGUAAUCUGAAGGCUUGCCUGGGGUGGAUAUCUAAGAUGGCUUCCUGAUGCACAUCUUUGGCUCAUCUUCUGGAAUGACUGGAAGAGCCAGAGGUCAUGUGUUCAAAAUCAACUAUGUUCUUCUGAAAUUGUGAAUAAAAAGAUUGCAGAAUGCC
rnacentral:lncRNA from 10 species